rnacentral:tRNA from 1 species
GCGCCACUAGCUCAAUUGGAUAGAGUACCUGACUACGAAUCAGUAGGUUGAGGGUUCGAGUCCCCCGUGGCGCACCA